GACGAACGCUGGCGGCGUGCUUAACACAUGCAAGUCGAACGGAAAGGCCCUGCUUUUGUGGGGUGCUCGAGUGGCGAACGGGUGAGUAACACGUGAGUAACCUGCCCUUGACUUUGGGAUAACUUCAGGAAACUGGGGCUAAUACCGGAUAGGAGCUCCUGCUGCAUGGUGGGGGUUGGAAAGUUUCGGCGGUUGGGGAUGGACUCUCGGCUUAUCAGCUUGUUGGUGGGGUAGUGGCUUACCAAGGCUUUGACGGGUAGCCGGCCUGAGAGGGUGACCGGCCACAUUGGGACUGAGAUACGGCCCAGACUCCUACGGGAGGCAGCAGUGGGGAAUAUUGCACAAUGGGCGGAAGCCUGAUGCAGCAACCCCGCGUGCGGGAUGACGGCCUUCGGGUUGUAAACCGCUUUCGCCUGUGACGAAGCGUGAGUGACGGUAAUGGGUAAAGAAGCACCGGCUAACUACGUG
rnacentral:rRNA from 1 species